rnacentral:rRNA from 1 species
GAUGAACGCUGGCGGCGUGCCUAAUACAUGCAAGUCGAGCGAACAGACGAGGAGCUUGCUCCUCUAACGUUAGCGGCGGACGGGUGAGUAACACGUGGAUAACCUACCUAUAACACUGGGAUAACUUCGGGAGACCGGAGCUAAUACCGGAUACUAUAUUGAACCGCAUGGUUCAAUAGUGAAAGACGGUUUUGCUGUCACUUAUAGAUGGAUCCGCGCCGCAUUAGCUAGUUGGUAAGGUAACAGCUUACUAAGGCAACGAUGCGUAGACGACCUGAGAGGGUGAUCGGCCACACUGGAACUGAGACACGGUCCAGACUCCUACGGGAGGCAGCAGUAGGGAAUCUGCCGCAAUGGGUGAAAGCCUGACGGAGCAACGCCGCGUGAGUGAUGAAGGUCUUCGGAUCGUAAAACUCUGUUAUUAGGGAAGAACAAAUGUGUAAGUAACUAUGCACGUCUUGACGGUACCUAAUCAGAAAGCCACGGCUAACUACGUGCCAGCAGCCGCCGUAA